CCAGACCGCGAAUGACGCUCAUGCACGAAAGUGCGGGGGUCGAACAGGAUUAGAUACCCUGGUAGUCCGCACAGUAAACGAUGAAUACUUGCUUUCGGCGAUACAUGGUCGGAGGCAAAGCGAAAGCGAUAAGUAUUCCACCUGGGGAGUACGCCGGCAACGGUGAAACUCAAAGGAAUUGACGGGGGCCCGCACAAGCGGAGGAACAUGUGGUUUAAUUCGAUGCUACGCGAGGAACCUUACCCGGGCUUGAAAGUUAGCGACGGAGGCGGAAACGCUUCUUCCCUUCGGGGCGCGAAACUAGGUGCUGCAUGGUUGUCGUCAGCUCGUGCCGUGAGGUGUCGGCUUAAGUGCCAUAACGAGCGCAACCCUUUUCCAUAGUUACCAUCAUUCGGUUGGGGACUCUAUGGACACUGCCAUCGUAAGAUGUGAGGAAGGAUGGGAUGACGUCAAAUCAGCACGGCCCUUACGUCCGGGGCGACACACGUGUUACAAUGGGCAGGACAGCGAGGAUCGAAGCGGCGACGCUGAGGGAAUCUCGAAACCUGCUCCCAGUUCGGAUUGGAGUCUGCAACCCGACUCCAUGAAGCUGGAUCGCUAG
rnacentral:rRNA from 1 species